AGCGCGUGCCCUUUGGAUCGCGGCCUUCGAAAUCGCCAGGAACUGAAAGAAGGCGAAGAGAGGCUUCGCGGAGGCAGGAACCGAUGAUGCUACAGCCCCCAUUUUAAGUCCGGGCGAGGUGGUGCUGAGCUGGCCUUAGCGACGUGGGCGUGGCUUAGCCGUGGAAGCAGGUCCAGGCGGCGAAGAGGCAGCCGCUCUCUUUUUGAGGCGAAGGGAGGAGAGGAAGCGCUGAAGCGGGGAGUCCGUGCCUUGUGAGCUGUCGAGAGAAAUACAAUUCUAUGGCAACUUACCUAGAAUUUAUCCAGCAAAAUGAAGAGCGUGAUGGAGUUCGCUUCAGUUGGAAUGUUUGGCCUUCCAGCAGAUUGGAGGCCACCAGAAUGGUUGUUCCAUUGGCUUGUCUUCUAACACCUUUGAAAGAACGGUUAGAUUUACCACCUGUCCAGUAUGAGCCUGUUCUAUGCAGUAGACCAACCUGCAAAACUGUUCUCAAUCCACUCUGUCAAGUUGAUUACAGAGCCAAGCUUUGGGCUUGUAACUUCUGCUUUCAGAGGAACCAGGUAAGUGUAAAACUGUUAUGUUCCAACAUUACUGUAAUACAUUUUUUUAAAAAAAUCUUGUUGGUACUAAAAUGAU